rnacentral:tRNA from 1 species
GGGAUUGUGGCACAGAGGUAGAGUGCUCACCUAGCAUGUGUGAGGCACUGUGUUCAAUCCUCAGCAUCACA